rnacentral:ncRNA from 1 species
UUAAAGACAGUGAAUGGAGCCAGUAAACAGUUAUAUCUUAAGAGAACAAAAUUCAUGGCUGGAAGAUUUUGUGGUCACUAAUUGUUGAAACCUACUCUAUUAGUUGUAAGUUAAGCUUACCGGUUUUAACCCGUUAAAGUUAUAUAAAGUUGGAUUAUUAAAUUAAUCAAUUUGAGUGGUACCGCGGAAAGUUUUCGUCUCAAUA